rnacentral:lncRNA from 1 species
AUGGGAGGAUGCACAGGAACCAUAAGCAGAUGCUCAGAAAUAGAGAAUCUUCAUUUGUUGAAGAUAAGAAGGGCACAGAAUGGACUAGCAGAAAACAGGUACUCAGCUGGUAAAGAAGGGAGAGACCCAACAUUUGUUUUGGUCUGCAGGAUAGAACUUCAUUUUGAGGCUGGUGGAGAAGGGCAGAUCUGCAUGCUGUAUCUGACUGACACUCAACCAGGGAUACCAGAAGGUGAGUAUGUCUGAUAGGAGAUGGAGAGGAGGAUCAGAACUAGUGAAUCAGACAUGAAAUAAGUUUAUGAUUCAAUUUAAUCCUCCUUCCCCGCUUUUUUAUAUUAUGAGCAAUAUAUGCCAUUAGGAUAGUUAUUAAGCGUGAAAGGAUUAAUUAAAACUAUAAUUAUCUGAUAAGACUAGCAUACUGUCUAACCUGAUUUAGGGCAAAUUCAUCUACUUUAAUUAAAAAUACUGGACGGGGGAAAAAGGUGAGUAAAGAAGUAAAAUUUAACACUGCUGGUCCUGUUUCUACCAUGAAUUUCUUGAGUGACUUAAGGUAUCAAACAGCCAUCGUGAGUUAAGAGUUCUGAGUACAAAUAACAAAUUUAUCUUGACAUUUAGAAAAAAACCGAUUUACUCUCUGAGGUUUGUUCAUAAAAAAAAAAAACCUGUUGUGAGCAUUUUAAUCUCCAAUUCUAAUGCCUAACACCAUAAUACUUCUAAGUCUGUAACUUAAUUUUAGGUUUAAUUUUAAAAACCCUGUCUUGUUAUAUCUGGUGAAAGAGACUAGAAAACAUUAUGUAGAAAAAAAAGCAAGAGACUAAUUAAAUGAUCUCAAUAUAAAACUUUACUAAAAGGCUUUUAAAAAGCCUCUUAAAACAACCUAAAAAUCAGAAUACUUUUGGCAGAAAAAUUAGCAGCUAUGAACAAAAUUAACAUUACAUAAUAUUUUAUCAAGAACUGAAUUAUGAUAAUGUGGUUUACAUAUAUUAGAAUGAUUUGCAACAAGCUUUUUUUUAAUCAGACAUCAAACCUCUUUACUAAAAAAAAAUUUUAAUGUAGUUUAGCACUUCUGGGAGAUUGUUCCCAAUCAAUGACAGUAACACAAUUUAGAAGAUGACAGAUAGCCUAUCUUUUCAUUAGAGACCUAUCCAGGUAAGUCUUGCCAAAUAGUUAUGAAAUUAUAUUCAAUAAUCAGCAUUCAUAAGAACUCAAGGUAAAACAGUAACUCUGGUCCCCUCAUCUAUCAGUAUAUAUACUUGGCAUCAGAAAUCAUACCAUUAGCAAAUACAUACUAAAUUUUUGAAAUUUUUGAAGGAAAAAAAGCUCACUUUAGAAUAAGUGUCAAUCUACAUUUUUUUAUGCUUCCCCUGACACACUAUUUCCACCACUCUUCAUUUUAACAGUGUUUUCUCCAUGGUUGGUGGUAUAUUACUGCUUCUUAAAGACCAAUCAUACCCAGCAGUCCAAGGUCAUCAACUCCUCUGCAGAUGAAGUGAGCUACAAAGAGCAAAAGAAGACCAAUGCAUUUCAACAGAAAAACAUCCGCCCUACUUAGCAAGGCAGAAGCCCACCUCUAAAACAUUUUUAACCCAAGGUUGCUUUAUAAUUAGUCCUACAAGUCCAACAGUAUUACACUCUCAUUGUCUAUUGUUGGUUUUGACAUAAGUUCAAACCUUAAAAUAUAUACUAGAAUUUCCAAGUUACAUACUCUGGAAACAUAAUUGAGUUUCUGUAUUAGGAUGAAAUCUCUUCAGUUUUGUGUAUUUGGGUAUGAAAUCUCAAACCCAGUCACUGUGAUACAAAGAGUGUAGGAGAACAAGGAGAGGAUACCAAGCCUCCGGGAGCCAUGAUAGGGGAAUUAUCCAUGCAAACAGACAAAUGUCUUCUGAAUUUAAUAUGUUAGCACAGUCGUAGGUAAGUGAUUUAAUGCAGCUCUUAAAUGCAGCCCCUGUGUUGUCACUGCUCCCACUUAAGAGUAGCUCAGCUUUGCCCUGUUUGUUAGAAAGGGACCCCUGUCCUGCCCACGGAGCACAGGGCUGCUAAGUAGCACCAGCUCUCCACCAUCUGGGAGCUAUGCUUCCUAACCCAGAGCCUCUCACCCUUAAUUUCCACUCAACUUUCAGGAGGAAGACUAUAUUUAGGUCAGUAAGGAUAUGACCAAAAAUAAGUAAACAAAUAGGGAUUAAAAAUAGGAAAUAAAUAUGAACUCCAAUGGAGUAAAACUUCCUAU